rnacentral:rRNA from 1 species
UACGUAGGGGGCGAGCGUUGUCCGGAGUUACUGGGCGUAAAGCGCACGCAGGCGGUCUGCUAAGUUUGGAGUGACAGUUGGUGGCUCAACCACCAAAGUGCUUUGAAAACUGGCCGACUUGAGGGCUUCAGAGGGGCACGGAAUUCCGGGUGGAGUGGUGAAAUGCGUAGAGAUCCGGAGGAACACCGAAGGCGAAGGCAGUGUCCUGGGGAGUACCUGACGCUCAGGUGCGAAAGCGUGGGGAGCGAACAGG